CCUACGGGAGGCAGCAGUGGGGGAUAUUGCACAAUGGGGGGAACCCUGAUGCAGCGACGCCGCGUGGGUGAAGAAGCGCCUCGGCGCGUAAAGCCCUGUCAGCAGGGAAGAAAAUGACGGUACCUGAAGAAGAAGCCCCGGCGAACGACGUGCCAGCCGCCGCGGUAAGACGUAGGGGGCAAGCGUUCUCCGGAUUUACUGGGUGUAACGGGGGCGCAGACGGCGAUGCAAGCCAGGUGGGCCAGCCCGGGGCCCAACCCCGGGACUGCUCUUGGAACUGCGGGGCUGGACGGCAGGAGGGGCAGGCGGAAUUCCUGGUGUAGCGGUGAAAUGCGUCGAUAUCAGGAGGAACACCGGUGGCGAGGGCGGCCUGCUGGACUGCAACUGACGUUGAGGCCCGAAAGCGUGGGGAGCAAACAGGAUUAGAUACCCCUGUAGUC
rnacentral:rRNA from 1 species